AUGCCUCCAGGGCGGCGGCAGCAAAAAGGGUGUGCUUCUUGGGUGCUGACAUCCCUGCACGGCUGGGUACACCUGAGUGAGAUGCUCAGUCGCUCCCUAAAGCUACUUCAGCGGAUAACUGACUCGGAGAUAAGCCAGAGCGGUGUCUUGAGAGGCGGCCCACCAGGACUUGCCCUCCUUUACCAGGGAAAUCAGGUGAGAAACGUGAAGCGGUUGGCUAUACCAGGCACAAAUAGGACCCACUGGACCCCAGAGCCUGCAUGUGAAGCCAGGGCUUGGGCCACCUUGCUCCUAAAAGGGGUGCCUACUUCCACGGGGUCUGCAAAGGGACUGUGGAAAGAGAGGCCUUUGGCCCACGCCUCUGAAUGUGUUCCACCACAGCGUGCCCUGCGGCCUCUGUCUUGCUGCUGAGGGGCAGUCAGAACCGCAGGGCUGCAGAGCCUCUGUGCUGGUCAGUGUCCCAGCCUGAGCGCCAGAGUUCAGCGGGCAGGCCCCGGAGCAGGUAGAGAGGACGGCACCUUUCGGACAGAAUGUGUGGAACAAGAGCGACGGCUCAGCCCUUCAGGCUCCUCACGAAAUGAGAAGUCAGGAAGAUCAGGGUGCAGACCUGAUUUCCCACCCAGGGCUGAAGGCAGACAACUGGAGAGUGAGCAGCACCUGGGCCAGUGAGGUGGAAGACAGAAGCCCGCAGUGUACUCCUGCCCUCAGCCUUACCCCCUCCCUCCCACAUCGGCCACACCCCUGACCACCUUCCUCAGAAGUGUAAUAGGAAUCCAGAUUCCACCUGGCCUGCUUGCUGCGGGAGGCACAGUGGCCGGAUGGAGCUUGAGGCAGGUGCGGGAAGAUGCAGAUUGUGUAACUGGAGGUUGGGAGCCCAGGGUGCAGAAGAAGUCUGGAGUGCAGGAUUUGGUGGUAUGUGUGUGGCAGUAAGCAGAAGAAAGAGAAAGCCAAGCCACUGGAAACACCUUAAGAAUUCAGCUAGAAAAUUCCCAGAGAAGUAUGCAUGCAGGCGUUCACAAGAUCCAGAAAGCAGCUGCCGCAUACCUGCAAGCUGCAAGCAAGCCCUAAACUGCUGACCUUUAAACAGCCGGUUGGAUUCACAAAGACAGUUUCCCAAUAGUCUUAAGAGCAGAGGUUCACUAAAGCCACUGUGCCCUGCAGCCAGGAUCCCAGUAAAUUCUUUAAGGAACGUUUAUGGAAGAAUUUUGAAAUUGUCCUUGGUAACCCCCAAGAAUGUUUUGGUUAGGAGUAGAAUUUUAGAUGUCAUCGAUUUAAAAAUUAAAACUAGAACUCUGGAACCCAUAGGGAUAUAAAAUUAAAAGAACACAUUCACUAUCCUGAGUAGAAAGAUCUCUUAUAGAACAUAACAAGCUUUAAAAAUAAAGAAAAUAUAAGGCAAAACUUCAUCAAAAUUAGAUGCUUGAGAACUAAAAAUAAACCCUGAAGCCACCCCACCAACUAGACAGACCCCUUAGCCAAGGAGACCCCAGAGAAGUGUUAAGUACUGACUUCCUGGCCAGUAUUUGGAAGGUCAGACACCUGUCCUUAGACUCUCUCCCUUUAUUGAUUUAGACACAGCCGACCAGUACUAAUGUUAAAAUAGCGACCAUGAGACUGUCAGAGCAGACGCUUUACAGCAGGAAGAUACCACUUUAUACACAAGAUGUAAGGCCGUGCCAGGCAAGGUUAAGCCGUGCACCACUCAACUUAAAGAAUAAAGUGUGUUCUAAUUGCCACAGGUAUUUUUCUUCUUCCUUUCUUCUCUAGCAGCUACACCUGCACUGGCCUUGAGAUAAGCAAUGCUGAAGCCCUCGCAGCUCACCCAUUACCACACACUGACUGAGCCCCCCACCCACAAGCCGUAACUGCUGAUUUGAUUGGACAAGAGACUGAUUUCAGCCACUUUCUCUUGAUAAGAGACCUCUGGCUGUGGACGGGUUCUGGCCAGUUCACAGAGGCUGUGCACCUGAUUGCCUUUGUGUCCCUCCUUCACCUUUUGAAGCAGGAGGCCUAAUUACAAGGUAUUUAAAUGUUGCCUCCACCCCAAAGUCAACGUGGGUUGCAUGUAGCAGGCCUGUUUCUUCAGCAUGCAUGCAGCAGGAUCCCUUCAUGAAUAUUCAGAGCUCUCCUAUUCCCUGUUGAAUAUGUAUACGUGGCCAGCCAGAUCAACAUAGAUACCUGCUCCACUGUCCUCUCCCUGGAAACCUGCUUUUCCGGUUUCAGCAGGAGGGCGUGCCUCCCAGUCUGUCCGAAUGGCCACCUUGCACGCUUGAACCCUAUAUAAAAAAUAAAAUCUGCUUUCUAAGUUUA